rnacentral:rRNA from 1 species
GAUGAACGCUGGCGGCGUGCCUAAUACAUGCAAGUCGAACGCGAGCAGCAAUGCUCGAGUGGCGAACGGGUGAGUAAUACAUAGGUAACCUGCCCAUGUGCCCGGGAUAAUUUCUGGAAACGGAAACUAAAACCGGAUAGGUAGGGAUCUCGCAUGAGGACCUUAUUAAAGGGGCUGCGGCCCUGAACAUGGAUGGACCUGCGGUGCAUUAGCUGGUUGGUGGGGUAACGGCCUACCAAGGCGACGAUGCAUAGCCGACCUGAGAGGGCGAACGGCCACAUUGGGACUGAGACACGGCCCAA